GGCUCAUCUAAUCCCUCCCUGGCAGCAGAAUCACCAUGAGCUGAGUCUCCAGGUUGACUCUCCUGGUCUCCCAGGCAAACCUCCCCAGCACUGGGGCAGGUCUCCCUUUGGCAAGGGCUGUUUGUUAGCAGCAUGUUAGGGCAUUCCCUUCUCCUAUCAGACCACCGUCUCUGUUCAUCCCCUUCAUACACACUGGGCUUUGGACUGUCUCAUUCCUAGGAGGUUCCUUUCUGUAUGGCCAGCACCAUUUUACACACAUCCCCUUCCCUCAGGCCGCCUUGACCACAGGCUCCCUGUGUUUCCUCCUGGCAUUUUCUCCACAAUUU
rnacentral:lncRNA from 1 species